GCAGUAGCCGCGGGAAUACGGAGGGUGCAAGCGUUAAUCGGAAUUACUGGGCGUAAAGCGCACGCAGGCGGUCUGACAAGUCAGAUGUGAAAUCCCCGGGCUUAACCUGGGAACUGCAUUUGAAACUGUCAGGCUGGAGUCUUGUAGAGGGGGGUGGAAUUCCAGGUGUAGCGGUGAAAUGCGUAGAGAUCUGGAGGAAUACCGGUGGCGAAGGCGGCCCCCUGGACAAAGACUGACGCUCAGGUGCGAAAGCGUGGGGAGCAAACAGGAUUAGAUACCCCAGUAGUCCCUGUCUCUUAUAA
rnacentral:rRNA from 1 species